UCCGGUUGAUCCUGCCGGACCCCACUGCUAUCGGGAUAGGACUAAGACAUGCUAGUCAAGCGCUUCCCAGCCAAAGGGAAGUGCGGCGCACAGCUCAGUAGCACGUGGCUAACCUGCCCUCAGGAUAGGGACAACCCCGGGAAACUGGGGCUAAUCCCCAAUAGGUGAAGUGCUCUGGAAUGAGCCUUCGCCAGAAAGGACGCUUGCGCUAUGCUCGCAGGCUUUGCCUGAGGAUGGGGCCGCGACCGAUCAGGUUGUUGGUGAGGUAAUGGCUCACCAAGCCUUUAACCGGUGCGGGCCGUGAGAGCGGGAGCCCGGAGAUGGGCACUGAGACAAAGGCCCAGGCCCUACGGGGCGCAGCAGUCGCGCAAACUUUGCAAUACACGAAAGUGUGACAGGGCUAUCCCGAGUGCCGUCCGCUGAGGAUGGCUCUUACCUAGUCUAGAACGCUGGGGGAAUAAGGAGAGGGCAAGUCUGGUGUCAGCCGCCGCGGUAAUACCAGCUCUCCGAGUGGUGUGGAUGUUUAUUGGGCCUAAAGCAUCCGUAGCUGGCCAAGUUAGUCCCCUGUUAAACCCACCGAAUUAAUCGUUGGUUUGCGGGGGAUACUGCUCGGCUAGGGGACGAGAGAGGCAGACGGUAUUUUCGGGGUAGGGGUGAAAUCCUAUAAUCCCGGGAAGACCACCAGUGGCGAAGGCUGUCUGCUAGAACGCGCCCGACGGUGAGGGAUGAAAGCUGGGGGAGCGAAUCGGAUUAGAUACCCGGGUAGUCCCAGCUGUAAACGAUGCAGGCUAGGUGUUUGGACGGCCACGUGCCGUUCUAGUGCCGCAGGGAAGCUGUUAAGCCUG
rnacentral:rRNA from 1 species